UACGUAGGGCGCAAGCGUUAUCCGGAAUUAUUGGGCGUAAAGAGCUCGUAGGCGGUUUGUCGCGUCUGCCGUGAAAGUCCGGGGCUCAACUCCGGAUCUGCGGUGGGUACGGGCAGACUAGAGUGCGGGUAGGGGAGAUCGGAAUUCCUGGUGUAGCGGUGAAAUGCGCAGAUAUCGGGAGGAACACCAGUGGCGAAGGCGGCGAUCUGGGUCGAUACUGACGCUGAGGUGCGAAAGCGUGGGGAGCAAACAGG
rnacentral:rRNA from 1 species